rnacentral:lncRNA from 1 species
UCAACAUUUCAAACACCAGUCACCAGUAGCAGCUGCAAAAUGGAGCCCCUUGCUUAUCUGCUGCAAACAUCUCUCAGGCUUGUGGACCAGAGCAACUUCAAGGAGAAUUUCAAUGGAGAACUUUAGAUGUGUACUGCAAUAGACGGUUUCCUACCUAAGUUGAUGUUUGUCCAAGGCUUUCACA